rnacentral:rRNA from 1 species
UACGAAGGGUGCAAACGUUGCUCGGAAUUAUUGGGCGUAAAGCGCACGUAGGCGGCUUUGCAAGUCCCAUGUGAAAUCCCACGGCUCAACCGUGGAAGUGCAUGGGAAACUGCAGAGCUUGAGUACUUAAGAGGAUCGCGGAAUUCCCGGUGUAGAGGUGAAAUUCGUAGAUAUCGGGAGGAACACCAGUGGCGAAGGCGGCGAUCUGGGAAGAUACUGACGCUGAGGCGCGAAAGCGUGGGGAGCAAACGGG